rnacentral:rRNA from 1 species
CCUACGUGAGGCAGCAGUGAGGAAUAUUGGUCAAUGGGCGCGAGCCUGAACCAGCCAAGUAGCGUGAAGGAUGACUGCCCUACGGGUUGUAAACUUCUUUUAUAAAGGAAUAAAGUGAGGCACGUGUGCCUUUUUGUAUGUACUUUAUGAAUAAGGAUCGGCUAACUCCGUGCCAGCAGCCGCGGUAAUACGGAGGAUCCGAGCGUUAUCCGGAUUUAUUGGGUUUAAAGGGAGCGUAGAUGGGUUGUUAAGUCAGUUGUGAAAGUUUGCGGCUCAACCGUAAAAUUGCAAUUGAUACUGGCAGUCUUGAGUACAGUUGAGGUAGGCGGAAUUCGUGGUGUAGCGGUGAAAUGCUUAGAUAUCACGAAGAACUCCGAUUGCGAAGGCAGCUUACUAAACUGCCACUGACAUUGAUGCUCGAAAGUGUGGGUAUCAAACAGGAGUAGAUACCCCAGUAGUC